UACGUAGGGUGCAAGCGUUAUCCGGAAUUAUUGGGCGUAAAGAGCUCGUAGGCGGUUUGUCGCGUCUGCUGUGAAAACCCGAGGCUCAACCUCGGGCCUGCAGUGGGUACGGGCAGACUAGAGUGCGGUAGGGGAGAUUGGAAUUCCUGGUGUAGCGGUGGAAUGCGCAGAUAUCGGGAAGAACACCCGUGGCGAAGGCGGCUCUCUGGGACGGUACUGACGCUGAGACGCGAAAGCGUGGGGAGCAAACAGG
rnacentral:rRNA from 1 species